rnacentral:rRNA from 2 species
GCGAGGAAACCCGCUGAACUUAAGCAUAUCACUAAGCGGAGGA